UCCCACCUUUCAUACUGUCAGCCAGUGGUCGGUCAGUCCUGGGGCUUGGUGGCCAUCACCGGGGCCGUCACCGGGGCGCCUACCGCGGUCUCACAGCCUCCGGCUACAGGGGCAGGACCCGGAGGGCAGUCACACUCACAGCCACUGGGGAAGGAGCCGAAGCCCCGGAGUGUGGCCAGGGCCGAGGUGGCGUGGGGGUGUUGCUAGGACGGCCAGGUUAGAGCCGGGCCCCGCACCCCACGGCGCGACCCCAGAUGUCGCCCACUCAGCCCUCCCCGGGUGCCAAGUGCUGGUGGCCACGUGGGAACCGGGCUCAGCAGCCUGGCCACCACAGCCCGGCGCUUCCUCCCGUCCCCGCCUCUGCCCUCCCUCACCGGGUCCGCCCGCCUCACCCCGGGGCUCCCCAAUCCACCCCGACCCUCCCUGCCUGCACUGGGUCACACGAGGACAGACCCAGGGGCGAAAUACUCGGAAACGCCUUUCUUUUUCUUCUUGGUUUAAUGAGGGAGAAGGGGAAGAGCAACACCGUGGAGCUGGAGGAAACAGCAGGACGCCCGGGCCAGGGCUCGGGGGCAAACCAGGGAGGAUGUUGGAUCCUGCAGAGCCAAGGGGGCGGCGAGCAGGGGGCGAGGAGGAGCCCGCAGCUCCACCUCCAGGGCCAGCAGCUGGUGGCUUCACCCCAUCAAGCUGUGCUCCCUCCCCCUCCUGCGGGCCGGUGGGAGCCGCCGGGCUUCGGUCCACGCCAGGAGGGCCGGGGUGCAAGGACUGAGCACCCAGGCCGCCCAGCUGUCUGCUCCCUCCGGGUGCUCUCUGCCCGGCAGCCUCCGCCCUGUGCGUCCUGCCGCUCUGCAGAUGUGCUGCCUCCCUGGCCGAGGCCGGCGCGGGGAGCCAGAGGCGGGUGCUGGGAGCGGCAGCACUUUCAGCGUCCGGCUCUUCGGCGUGGAGGGCGGUCACAGCGUGCAGCCGCCGCCGAGCAUCCCUCCUCCUGCAGAUCCCCAGGCAAACAGCGAGGUCCCCCGGCCGCCGCCCCCCGUUUCGCUGUGUCUCUGACUGUGCCGCCCUCAGAACCACAGCAAUCACGAUGCCCCGGGAGAACAACCUCUGCACCUGGACGGAUGGUCUUUGCAGCCAGUGACAACCCACCUUACCGACCAAGGUCUUCCAGGUUGACCCCGGGAGCUAGAAUGUUCCCUUGUCCCGCCUUGUCGCUCUGUCACUGCACCACUCAGCCCCGUCCAGGGCCACCAGUAACAGAAAUCGAAGACCUCAGGGAGUCCCACGGCGAGUUGAAGCAGGCCUAG
rnacentral:lncRNA from 1 species